AGGAAGAUUGGUUUAUAGUUGGGAUAUCAAUUUUGAUGAGUAUGAGUACCCAUCCAACGAAUUUUAGAAUCGGUUUGAAAUGACUUUUCAACGUUUGGGAGACAAGGGCAGCAAUUGAUUGUGAUGGAGUGGGGACCUAUUUCAUGAUGGAAUGGCUCGGGAGAUGCCGAUGCUGAGGCCGAGGUCGAAGUCGAAGAAGAUUCCUAAGAUGAAUGACAUAGAAUUUACCUGAAAAGCAUCACCAAUCAAGACGUAGAACGCAGACGGGUCGGGACAUACAGGUGUCCACAACCCGUCGUGC